AUUGAACGCUGGCGGCAGGCCUAACACAUGCAAGUCGAGCGGAUGAAGGGAGCUUGCUCCUGGAUUCAGCGGCGGACGGGUGAGUAAUGCCUAGGAAUCUGCCUGGUAGUGGGGGAUAACGUCCGGAAACGGGCGCUAAUACCGCAUACGUCCUGAGGGAGAAAGUGGGGGAUCUUCGGACCUCACGCUAUCAGAUGAGCCUAGGUCGGAUUAGCUAGUUGGUGGGGUAAAGGCCUACCAAGGCGACGAUCCGUAACUGGUCUGAGAGGAUGAUCAGUCACACUGGAACUGAGACACGGUCCAGACUCCUACGGGAGGCAGCAGUGGGGAAUAUUGGACAAUGGGCGAAAGCCUGAUCCAGCCAUGCCGCGUGUGUGAAGAAGGUCUUCGGAUUGUAAAGCACUUUAAGUUGGGAGGAAGGGCAGUAGGUUAAUACCUUGCUGUUUUGACGUUACCAACAGAAUAAGCACCGGCUAACUUCGU
rnacentral:rRNA from 1 species